UACGAAGGGGGCUAGCGUUGCUCGGAAUCACUGGGCGUAAAGGGUGCGUAGGCGGGGCUUUAAGUCAGGGGUGAAAGCCCGGAGCUCAACUCCGGAACUGCCAUUGAAACUGUAAGACUUGAGGAUGAGAGAGGUGAGUGGAAUUCCCAGUGUAGAGGUGAAAUUCGUAGAUAUUGGGAAGUACACCGGUGGCGAAGGCGGCUCACUGGCUCAUAUCUGACGCUCAGGCGCGACAGCGUGGGGAUCAAACAGG
rnacentral:rRNA from 1 species